rnacentral:rRNA from 1 species
GAUGAACGCUGGCGGCGUGCCUAAUACAUGCAAGUCGAGCGAACAGACGAGGAGCUUGCUCCUAUGGCGUUAGCGGCGGACGGGUGAGUAACACGUGGAUAACCUACCUAUAAGCCGGGGAUAACUUCGGGAAACCAGAGCUAAUACCGGAUAAUAUAUUGAACCGCAUGGUUCAAUAGUGAAAGACGGAAUUGCUGUCCCUUAUAGAUGGAUCCCGGCCUCAUUAGCAAUUUGGUAAGGUAACGGCUAACCAAGGCAACGUGCCGUAGCCGACCUGAGAGGUUGACCGGCCCCAUUGGAACUGGACCCCGCUCCAGCCUCCUACGGGAGGCAGCGGUAGGGAAUCUUCCGCAAUGGGCGAAAGCCUGACGGAGCAACGCCGCGUGGGGGAGGAAGGUCUUCGGUUCUUAAACCUCUGUUAUUAGGGAAGAACAAAUGUGGAAUUAACUACUCACGUCUUGACGGUACCUAAUCAGAAAGCCACGGCUAACUACGUG